rnacentral:tRNA from 1 species
CGCGGGAUGGAGCAGUCUGGUAGCUCGUCGGGCUCAUAAUCCGGAAGUCGCUGGUUCAAAUCCAGCCCCCGCUACAA